rnacentral:lncRNA from 1 species
AACGCCUUCUUUUUUCUAUUAUUGUUUCAAUGUUUGCCCUGAUGUGUAAUGGAAACAUUUAACUGGAGAACAUCCUCUAGUAGAACUUAUGUAAUGAUGUCGGGGAUUCAAGACUGCGGGUUAGUUCGAUGCUCCUAGAGAAACGAGAUCAAAACGUAGUAAAAAUUAAGAGAAAUGAGUGAAAAUGAAGGGAGAAAGUAGUGAAAGACUAUUCAUGUAGAUAUGAGCGCGAGAAGCAGGCGGUUGAGAUCAUACCACCAGUAAUUCAUCAG